UUCAACCAUUCCGCAGAGCUUCAUUUCGUUUUUCCUCUUUCAGUGAUAGGGUUAACUAGUCUGUGACUAUAUUAUUUUUCACGUCUCCUACCGAUUUCUCCAAGUUUCUCAUCUUUUUUCAUUUGUGCAGUAUAUCAGGUUGUUCAAAGAAGCAUGGGAGAAACCCUGAAGAAGAAAACCUAAUCUCUACUUGCAGACAAACCCUAACUUCCCUGAGAGUGAGUUUUCUGUCUGACCCUAAAAAGAAUUUGUGCAGACUUCAAUUUGAUUUUGGCUUGUUGUGUAGUUCUCAGUAUAAAUUCUUAUUUGUGCUUCGAAUAUCUUUUUGUUCAUAGAUUUGUUCAAUGUUAUAAGUUGUUUUUUGGGUUUUAUCUUUGAUUUAAGUCUUAAAAGAUUAGCUAAUUUAAAUUUCCAUUAUUAAAGCAAUACAAAAGUGCCAAUUGAUUUAGCUUCGUGAAUUCUCAAAGAGAAAAUAAGAAGUAUAUUUCUUGUAUUUAGAGGCUUUACUUAUCUCUCGGUGGAACGAACAGCUUGAAAUCAAUCGAGAGAAGAAUCCCCAAUUUCAUCAACUAAAGUAGAAGCAGGGAUGAAAUCCUAACCUCUAUAUUCAAAAUAGGUUCUCUAUAUUCGUCAUUUUUUCAUCUCGGUUUUCUUGAUAUAUGGUUUGUAUUUCUAGAGAAAUCCAGAGAUUUUGGUUUUGGUACGGUAAUUCCUAACACUUUCUGUUAAAUCCAUGUGUUUUACAGAAUUUUUGGUUUUUUCUUUUUGUUGAUUAAUUUGGUUUUGGUGGUGUUGAAGGAUGUGAAGCUUCCACUAGUAAUGGAGGGAUCGAUUAUGAUCAAAUUAUUGUCGAAGUGGAACAAAGGCUACGAGGACUUCACACAAUGUAGCCCUUUGGGUUAGGGUAUCUUCCACUAGAGUUGUUUUUUUAUUAUGUGCUUACAUUUUGCAGGAGAUUUAAGCGAACAAUCUAGAUAGACUUGUCCUUGGUGGUAUAACUCUAUUGUUGACAACGCAUGGUGUUUUUGAUGUUUUGUUGUUUUACUGCCUCAGAGGCAUUAACCAUGGAAUUGUUGUUGCUAGGAUAGAUGCUAGUUGCAUUGAAUUAACUUUCUUAUGUUUGGGUGACUCCAGAUCCUGGUUUGAAAACCAGGGAAAGCAGAUGAUGCUCCAGAGUGUGAUAAGUUCGCUAAGUAUUACCGCGAUUUUGCCCCGGAGAAUGGGUUCUUCUCAUGAGAGCGGCGAUUGGUCUUGGUAAGGAGAGAUACCUUUACUACUUGGACUUGCAGGGAACAUUACAAGACAAUACAUGAUCCUACAUAUCAACAAGUGUGUCUAAUUAUAUACAUAUUUAAAAAAAAAUGGACGAUUGGGACAUCCUUCUUUUGGAUACUUGCAAAGUUUAUUCUCCAUGUUGAUUUCAAAAAUGGAUACAUUUAAAUUUCAA